AUGUCGCUGCGGAUGUUUUCUAAAGUGGCAUUAAUUUUGUCUAAGCCGCGGUAAACUCGUCUGACGUCGGUCUCGGUGUCUUUUUGAUUUCUCGCCAGCGCUGCAAUGCUUCCAGAAAGGCUUUCAUGGAAUUUGUUUUCCGCUUGCAUGAAUGCCUUCACGGAAUCCUAGAAAUAUACAAAAGGUAUAAUAUAUACAUACAUACAUUAACAUAUACACAUAUAUACAUAUGUAAGUAUUCAUAUUUUAUUUUGUAAUUUACCUAUAGUGAGGGAUUAUUUCUGUACCUCUUUGGGGUCGGAGACGGAUUGGUUUCCUCCUCACGGGCUCUUGCGGAUGUGGUAGGCAAAUCAUCAUCGCUUAAAUCGGGCGCGGAUACUGCCUCCUCCCCAGUUCCAAAAGAAGUGGACAUUGAUAUGCCUUCUACAACAGCGUACAGUCCGGAAAUUCUUGCUACCGUUUCCUCCGCCUCCGAAAAAGUGUACUUUUUAAAUGGGCCGCCUCCGGUAGCCACGGCCUCUCUUCUGUUGUGUGCCAAUUUCUUCCUCACUUCACUUUUCCAGUCAGUCCAGCUGAUCGGAACAUUUCCGAUAAAAAAUUUCCGAUAAUCGGAAUGCAGAACAUCAAAUUUCCGAUAGAAUUCCGAUUCGAAGUGGAUCGAAAUGUAGAACAAGGCGGAAUCGGAAAUAAUUUCCGAUUAUCGGAAUGCAGAACACCAACAAUCGGAAACAAUUCCGAUUCCGAUUCGAAUCGGAUUGCAGAACAGGGCUGAAUAUGAGAAGGGAAGGUGCAGAUUGGAAACUAGUGCUUUCCAACUGCCCUAACAAUUGUGGCAAUAAUAUGAGAAGGGAAGGUGCAG